CAGCAGUGGGGAAUUUUGCACAAUGGGCGCAAGCCUGAUCCUCAGAGCUAGCCGCGUGAGUGAAGAAGGCCUUCGGGUUGUAAAGCUCUUUCGCAAGGGAAGAAACUUACCUUCUAAUAAUAGGUUUUUCUUAGUACGUACCUGAAGAAGAAGCACCGGCUAACUACGUGCCAAGCUG
rnacentral:rRNA from 1 species